AAGAUAUAUUGUUAAGUGAAAAAAAAAAGGUAUAGAAUAGUAUGUAAAGUGUAAUGAAAUCCAGAUCUUGGAGAGGCUGAGUUUGUGGCACACUGGAUGGCAGAGAAGCUCAAUGGGAUGGUACAGGCUAGGGGUGAAGACACCAGCUGAGCACCUGUGAGGCCCCCCUGUGAGAGCUGGGAAGCUGGCUGAGAUGCCCGCAGAACUCACGGAGUGCUGCUGUGCCUCUCCUGACCUGCAGCUGCUUUCAACUACCAGGACGAGCUGGGAGAGCCCUGGGGAACUUGGAAGAAAUGCCCCUUCCUCUUUCGGUGUCCCUUUGGUGCCCUCUUCUGGCAAAGCUUAACACCUUGCCAGUUGGCAAAAAAAUGUUUAUAGGUUCCAGCUCCAGUGUCAAACAUUGGAGCAAGGAAGGAUGGAUUUGGAGUGGAAAGAGUAUUAAAUUGAUAAUUGGCACACAUACUGAAGUAUUUAUAGAUGAAAUAGGAUGUCUGUGAUUUUCUUCAAGACAAUCCUUUGCACGGGGGUAUAAGAUUAAGCAAGAUUAUUCACAUGUUGAUAAUUGUUGAAGAUGGGACUAAUUAUAAAGCGGUUCAUUAUAUUCUACUUUUUAUAUACAUGAGAUAUAUAUAUGUUCAAAUAUGUAUGAGAGGGAUACCUGAGAUAUAUAUGGUAAUGAGAUAUAGAUGAGAUACAUGUUCUAUAUUUGAAAUAAGCAUAUAUAUGCAUAUAUACAUAUACAUAUAUAUGUAUGUAUAAACAUUCCUUACUUUUAGUACUUAAAAAAACUUAAAAAUGUGAACUGAUAUGUUACCUGUCCCUAGGAAGCUAAAGCUAUAUUAUAGUCUAGCAAUCUAGGACUGUUCAGAGUUUGGGGGAAGCCAAGUCUCAACCUUAUGUAAUCUAAAUAUGCCCUGACUGGGAAGGCGGAACGGCUGCUCUAGCUGCCUGUGGGAGAGAAAGGGGUUUCCAUCCUAUGGAAAUUUUGGAGCUGGGGCUAGGUGGCCAAUAUAGGUACAAACAUGUUUUAAUGUUUAAAGGGCCAAAAUAAUUGCCUUAAGUGAGUUAAUGUGUAUCACGGGCUUAAAAUAGCGUCUAGAAUAUUCUAAGUGCUGUGAAAGUGUUUCUUAUUAUUUUAUGUUAGUGAUUUCCCCAUCCUCAGCCAGCAUGAAACAAUCCUUACUGCUGGCAAGGCCCCUCCUACCCUCCUGACGCAGUGCUGAGACUCUGUAAGACCCAAGAAUCAGACCUUGGACUGUCAUAGGAGAGCACCUCAGAGUCCCCCUGUUUCCUUUGCUGUUUGUUUUUCUAGGGGAGAGUCAGCGGGAGCACUGCAGCCACAGAACAGGGUCUGCCAGCACACUCGGCCAGUGCGUGUGGGGCGGGGAGCAAUAAGGUGGUGGCUCCCUAAGCCGGCAAGAGAGCGGGCAGCAGAAUCUGCUGUGCACAGCGGGGCCCUGAGUGCGGGUAGGCUGCAGGUGGGGCCCCAAAGGAGAUCAGGGCCCUCACAGCACUGUGGGGCCCAUGUAGGCACCUACAGGAGCACAGGAAUGUAGCUGAGAUGUCUUGCUUUAUGGGAGGUGAGGUGGGGGUUAUAGACUGUAGACCCCAAGGAUUUUAACAAAUGGUGGAAGGAAGCUGAUGGAACCUUGACUGGAGGUUUUGGAGGGUGUUGUUUUAUUUAUUGCCCCUGGGUGAUGGCAGCGUGUUUGUGUGUGCACAUGUAUUUGUGUGAUAUAUGCAUGUUCACGUGUGUAUAAACAUGUUUAUAUGCAGCAGUGGUAACAGGAGGAUUUAAUAUCCCAGUAAAAAUGAGUCAAACUUCCUAUGUAGAUUGAAUAGACAAGUGAACAAUGCUGGGUAAUCAACCUGAUAAAUAUUUUUCCCUUUAUAGUGGAGUUGCAUUUCAUAUACAUUAAGUUUAUGGGAAUUCACCUUAAAGUGCUUGGCUGAGUAAACAGUAUACAAAACAAUAAAAACAAGACAGAAGUUAGAGAAAGACAAAAAUAUUCAUUUUAAUAGAGCAUCAACUAUGACAACAACUGGAGCUUCCCUGUGUCAUCCCAGUUCUUGUGUGACUCUCAGAGUAGAACAUCUUGUUGCUGUCGGUGGGAUUCUAACUGCUAAAGAUAUAGUUUUGUUCUUUUUUUUUUAUACAUAUUUGUAGAACAUGCACCCUAAAUGCAAACCAAAUAUCUCAUCCAGAACUCAAGAAUACCAACUUCUCACUGCCAUACAAAGUUAAAAAUUUUGAAAAUUAUAUUUUUCAUGUUUGUUAGAUUAAGUGAAAUCAUUGGUAUAUUAAGUGGAAUAUUACUGUAUGGGGCUGUACACACAAAACUAUGCAUUUCAAAUUGGUCUAAGGGAAUUUUCAAUAGAUACUUAGGUGCUGUAUAAUUUUAUUUUGUAUGGUGACUUUAGACCCUGUUCCUGCAUAAAACAUGACUCCUCUGUUUGGUGUCCAUCAUACAUACUGAAUCAAAACAAUGAUCCCAUUUGAAUGUGUUAAAUCAGUGUUGCACAAAGGGUGUGCAAAAAUUCAAUGUUUAUCCAUUCUUUUCGUACAAAACAAGAAUAGUUCCUUAAAAGCAGGGUGAGUUGAAGAUGAAAUUCAAAGUGAAGAUGAAGUUAAAAUGUAGUAUCUUGGGAAGGUCAAGGGAUGCUGGAAAACAAUCCUUAUAUCUCAAAGGGACUAGACAAUAGCAGAUAGAAAUGUGAUAAACCUGCCAUGAGGACAUGGAUUUGGCUAUGUCAGUUUCAAAGCAUAAGCUUGGUCUUAUCUGUUCUUACCUGACAAUGUGAAUACUAUAAAUUCACAUUCAAGCCGUCCAUGCCCAACCUGGCCCCUACACUUUAGCCAUGCUGUGUACAGCAUGAAGCAUCCCCUGAUCCAAAGCAGUCUUGUGGUCACUGCUCAGGAGGACUGAAAGUGCUCUUGAUUUGCCUACUCCCUUUCCUGUUGUUUUUUUGGACCCUUCCUAGGAAUUAUCAAUACUACUGGGCUGUCAGCCUGCCUGCAUUUCUCGUUGAUUGGAGGCACACAAGGCCCCUGAGAAGUGAACUCAAACUGGCCCAGCACUGGCUCUGGAUCACCGGCUGCCCCUUGCAGUCUGUGAGAGGGCCUGGAAGGAAGGAGAGAAAGUCAAUUUGGAAGAAUAACUGGCUGCUUUUCCUGAUUAUAAUACAGAAAAGAGAGAAAAAAAGAAGUCAAAAGCAGGGCCCCAUUCUCCACUGUCUAACUCUUACCUCCAUCCUUCCUCCUCCAGAUUGGGGUCAGGGCUCACCUCAGUUCUGGAGAACAUUGACCUGACCAUCAGCUGGGCUGCUUAGAUGCCUGGUCCUUCUUUGCACCAAGUGGGCUAUGGCCCCAUCCUGAAUGCUGCCAUGCAAACAGUACCCAUUCAUCACUGAUGGGUCAUGUCUACUGGCUUCUCUUUUUCUUCUACAAUCAUAUGCAGAGCCUGGCUUCAUGCUUGUAGGAAUUAAUAAAGGAAGAGACAAACAUUA